rnacentral:pre_miRNA from 1 species
UAAAUACUCCCUCCGUCCGAAAAUACUUGUCGGAGGAAUGGAUGUAUCUAGACGUAUUUUAGUUCUAGAUACAUCCAUUUUUAUGCAUUUCUUCGACAAGUAUUUCCGGACGGAGGGAGUAUUUG